UGUUUAAAGCAGGGAUAGGCAACUCCAGCCCUCGGGGGCCUGAUUGGUAUCACACUGUUUCCCCCAAUCCUAAUAGCUAACACACCUGAUGAAAGUAAUUGCAUUCCAAACGGAAGACCAUGAUUAGAGGUCUUCAAUUUAUUGGAGUUACAGUACAUGUACAUGAAGCCAGCCACACCAAUGUGUCGGAGGAAACACCGUCCAGCUGGCGACCGUAGUCAGCUUGCAGGUGACCGGCCUGCCACAAGGAGUCGCUAGAGCGCGAUGGGACAAGGAAAUCCCGGCCGGCCAAACCAUCCCCUAACCCGGACGACGCUGGGCCAAAUGUGCGCUGCCUCAUGGGUCUCCCCCGGUCACGGCCGGCUGUGACACAACCUGGGAUCGAACACAGGUCUGUAGUGAUGCCUCAACCACUGCGAUGCAGUGCCUUAGUCCGCUGCACCACUCGGUAGGUUACAUGUAUUUUUUUACAUUAAAUAUUUUCAACUGUUAGAGAUUCUCAGUAACAACCAAACGGUCGUGAUGCCGUUUACAGAGGAAGCAAAUUAAGCUAAAGAAACAAAGGUUUAAAUGGAAAGCUAUACCAACUGAAGGGAACUAACAGUUAAUUGGCAGUUAAAUAUGUGUGCUUAUUAGGCCUACUGACGUUUGAUUCUGAUAGAAAUAGGAAACAGAGAAAGUCAGCGUAUGUAAUUAAAACAUUGGAGAGUGCCCAAAUGUCAAAUUUGCCGCAAUGCUUUGCAUCUUCAGUACCUUCCCCAAAUAGAGAAUGAUAGAGGCCUCUAGUGGCCAAAAGGCCAUUUUAGCAAUGGCAGCGCCACUGAGAGCUUUCACCAUUUUAAUGUUGUUUCACCAUUUUAACUACAUCAUCAGGAGGGAUCAGCCAAUCGUGAAAAACAAAAUUGAUGACUUCAAAAUUUGGCGCCUCAAUGGCGCUGCCAGUGCCCUCACAGACACCAUAGUGGGAAGUAUAUAGGGAAGCACUCUCUAUCAUGCUCUAUGGUAUACCCAUUUGGCUUGUGUCUCCAAGUUUCAACGAGGGACGAUGUGAAUAUAUUUUCCUACCAAAUGGUUCUGCAACAACAGUGACUUUACAUAUGUAAAACUUUCCUGCAGUGCUCUGGACAAAUGCUGGUGCACAGCCUACAGGCCUACAACCACUAACAUUAAACACAUCAGAUUAAUCCACUAUGGAAUAUAGAAUAAUAGGGAUAUCAAUCUGGGUGGUGUCAAGAAUAAUUUCUCUUAAAAUUUAUCCAAGCAUUGGUUUCAUUCUAUUGUUCAUUUGAUGAGUUUUCUGGAGCCUUUUCAUGAUGUCAGUUCAUUGGUAACCUGAGCUAGGCUAAACUCAUGUGACGAACCACAAUCCUGAUGACUGUAUCUAUGCGGAAUGGUUAACUACUCAGGCAUUCUUCUUCAUUCACUUUAACUUCUUAUGGCUGCAGGGCAGUAUUGAGUAGCUUGGAUGAAAGGUGCCCAGAGGUGCCCAUAGUAAACUGCCUGCUCCUCAGUCCCAGUUGCUAAUAUAUGCAUAUUAUUAUUAGUAAUGGAUAGAAAACACUCUAAAGUUUCUAAAACUGUUUGAAUGAUGUCUGGGAGUAUAACACAACUCAUAUGGCAGCCAAAAACCUGAGAAGAAAUCCAAACAGGAAGUGGGAAAUCUAAGGUUGGUCGAUAUUCAACCCAGCCCCUAUUGAAUACACAGUGGGAUAUGGAUCAGUUUGCACUUCCUACGGCUUCCACUAGAUGUCAACAGUCUGUAGAACCUUGUCUGAUGCCUCUACUGUGAAGUGGGGCCGAAGAAGACAGGAAUGAGUCAGGUCUACCAUGACCGGACCAUGCUCUGACCAUGCGCGUUCACAUGAGAGGGAGCUCUGUUCCAUCGCACAUCUGAAGUCAAUGGAAUUCUCCGGUUGGAACGUUAUUGAAGAUUUAUGUUAAAAACAUUCUAAAGAUUGAUUCAAUGCAUCGUUUGACAUGUUUCUACUGACUGUUACGGAACUUUUUGACAUUUAGUCUGCUUUUAGUGAACACGCUUCCUGACUUUGGAUUUGUUUACCAAACACGCUAACAAAAAUAGCUAUUUGGACAUAAAUGAUGGACAUUACCGAACAAAAGGAACAUUUCUUGUGGAAGUGGGACUCCUGGGAGUGCAUUCCGACGAAGGUCAGCAAAGGUAAGUGAAGAUUUAUAAUACUAUUUAUGAGUUUUGUUGACUGUACAAUUUGGCGGGUAACUGUAUAGCUUCCUUUUGUGGCUGAACGCUGUUCUCAGAUUAUUGAAUAUUGUGCUUUUGCCGUAAAGCUUUUUGAAAUCUGACACAGCGGUUGCAUUAAGAACAAGUGUAUCUUUAAUUCUAUGUAAAACAUCUAUCUUUCAUCAAAGUUUAUGAUAAGUAUUUAUGUUAUUUGACGUGGCUCUCUGCAAUUUCUCUGUAUAUUUUGGAGGUAUUUCUGAACAUGGCGCCAAUGUAAACUGAGGUUUUUGGAUAUAAAUAUGAACUUUAUCGAACAAAACAUGUAUGUAUUGUGUAACAUGAAGUCCUAAGAGUGUCAUCUGAUGAAGAUCAUCAAAGGUUAGUGAUUCAUUUUAUCUCUAUUUCUGCUUUUUGUGACUCCUGUCUUUGGCUGUAAGCCUAUUUGAAAUCGGACACUUUGGUGGGAUUAACAACAAGAUUACCUUUAAAAUGGUAUAAGAUACAUGUAUGUUUGAGGAAUUUUAAUUAUGAGAUUUCUGUUGUUUGAAUUUGGCGCCCUGCACUUUCACUGGCUGUUGUCAUAUCGAUCCCGUUAACGGGAUUGCAGCCAUAAGUUUUAAGUUACAACUGUGAAACAACCCAUAUGUGUUUUGCCUUCAACUAACAGUUUGGUGUGGUGAAAGUGGGUCCUCUUUCAAAUACUAAUUUUGGUCUCUCACUAUGGGGACACACCCUUCUAGGCAGAGUCACAGGAAGCUCCAAUCACACAAGUGUCAGAGAACCCCACUCCUUAUAAGGCGCCACACUUCCAUCCUCCACUUCAUGAUUCGUUUUCUCCCUUGCGGAAAAGGCAAGCUCUUCAUGAGGAUUGAGCACACGUACCGAAAAAUGUACAUCUCAGUCUCCUGUCGAAGCUAAUGCCACAGCCUUCCCCCCUCUAACCCACUUAACUUCCCACUUUGUGCUGCUUUUUCACACCAUUGUGGAAGAGAGAAAAUAUCCUUUUUGAGAUUAGGUUAGACCACGCUGCAGGGCAAAGCUAACCUAUCUAGAUUGUGAAGAACACGCUUUCUCUCCAGCUAGCAGUGUGCUAGCAAUAGCUAGGAUAUUAGCCCAAGGGGUGAAUGCUAGCUAGUUGACGCCUGGACUAGCUCCACAGCUAACGUCGGACAGCACACGAUUAGAGCUCACUCAUUGUGCUAGCUAUUUCUACCUACACUUUGUAGCGUUACUUCUCCCCUCGUUUAGCUAGCACACGGCUAGCUUAGCUCUCUUAAAUAUAGUUUACCUACUUUCUGUCAGUCGUCCUUGCUUACUUAAAUGGUCCCACUUACACGGUACUACGGUCCAAGAGACUCUAAAACCAAGCCAGCUACCACGUCAAGGCUAGUUUUUACAACUACUCACCGAAGCUGGGCUAAAAGACGGUUGUUCUGUGUCUUCCAAGCUAAAGUUGUCCCCUCUGUACCGAUUUAAAUUCAAGCAGAGGCUGGACUGGUAAAUAUCAGUCACCACCUCCAGAAAUAUAUCACUCUAUGUCCCCUUGCCAAGGGGCACAGAGCCUUGUUAUGCCUAUAAAAGCCUACUUCUGGUGAGUGCGAGUCAUCAGGCUUGUGGACAGCUUUCGGCGUCCAGGGGCUCCAGAUCCCACCGACACAGUCCUGGGCAAGCGGUCCUUCACUGCAGCCGACCUAAAGGGUCUGUCCCCAGCGGCAGAGAGGAGCAGGGCACAGCUCAUACAGUGUCCGGCCCUGCCCCUUCUCGGGCAGAAGACAGACUCCCCCAAAGUGGAGGAGGAGGGCAUCUGCUUUCUAGAGUUGGGCUUGACACGAGAACUGCUCUCCUUGUCUCCUGUGUGCCAUCCCAGGAGACAGGGAGGACACUUCUCUCUCGUCUCUCUCAUCUAUACCAACUGAAGGAAACUACCAGUAAAUUGGCAGUUAAAUAUGUGUGGUUAUUAGGCCUACUGAGUUAUUAGGCCUACCUAAGUUAAGCAUAGUUCAUGUUAAUAUUCCAUUACCCUAGGUCCUCCAUUCCCGAACAUGAAGCCGCCUGACCCUAGCAGAAAGGACCAGAGAAAAGUGUUGGCUUAAUUAAAACUUCUUCAGGAUUGGUGGGUCCCCUGCGGGAUGGUUGAGCUAACGUAGGCUAAUGCGAUUCGCAUGAGGUUCUAAGUAACAUGAACAUUUCCCAGGACAUAGAUAUAUCUGAUAUUGGCAGAAAGCUUAAAUUCUUGGUAAUCUAACUGCACUGUCCAAUUUACAGUAUCUAUUAUAGUGAAAGAAUACCAUGCUAUUGUUUGAGGAGAGUGCACAGUUUUGAUCAUGAAAAGUUAUUAAUAAACAAAUUAGGCACAUUUGGGCAGUCUUGAUACAACAUUUUGAACAGAAAUGCAAUGGUUCAUUGGCACAGUCUAAAACUUUGCACAUACACUGCUGCCAUCUAGUGGCAAAAUCUUAUUUGCACCUGGGCUGGAAUAAUACAUUAUGACCUUUCUCUUGCAUUUCAAAGAUGAUGGUACAAAAAAAAAACGUUUUUUUUUUUUCAUUGUAUUAUCUUUUACCAGAUCUAAUGUGUUAUAUUCUCAUACAUUCCUUUCACAUUUCCACAAACCUCAAAGAGUGUUUCCUUUCAAAUGGUACCAAUAAUAUGCAUAUCCUUGCUUCAGGGCCUGAGCUACAGGAAGUUAGAUUUUGGUAUGUCAUUUUAGUCAAAAAUUGAGAAAAAGGGGCUUAAGAGUUAUGACUUAGUAUUGAGUAAAAUUAAGAUCACUCAUGUUCAUAUUUAGAUUUAGAGUAACUGACAAGAAUUGGAUCAUGACCAGCCUCAGUCUACACUCAGGUGGAACAACAUAUAUGUAAUGCAUUUGUUGUGCCAAUUAAUUGUGCCAAUUAAUGCAUAUCACAACGGUCGAGAAGUGCAUACACACUGCAAUCUACAUCCGUUGUUAAACUUGAGUGAUGACUAAGCCCAAGAAGAUUUGUAACUUCACAUGAUUAAGCCUAUGUCAAUACAGAUCUGAAUGUUUGAUAUCCUUUUUUUCUGUACACUGUUGAUAGUAGUUGAUGCCAAAGUUAAUCAUUGAAUGUCCUACUACAAGGACUCGGUCAGCUUGACAAACGUAUGUGUCAUAUGAACUCACACACACCAGGGAUUGCCAGGGCGGGUACACUGAGCAGUCUGGAAAAGCUAAUAUUGUGCAAUUUGUGACUGAAUGCGACAAAAAGAAACAGCACAGUGACAUGAUCACACAGUUCACUCUUUGCCUCUCAAUCACAGACUCACUCAUGCACUCACUUACUCACAUAGUUUCGCUUUAGGAUUAUUCUCAUUUAAGAUAAUUGGAUCUCUAUUUCAGGAGAGGAAUGACAUGCAUGACCUUCUGGCUCUCCUCUCUGCUCAGGCCCCAGCAGAACAGGCCCAGCUCUCACAGUGGUCUUCUCUACAGGCUGUCCUGCUCCGCUCCCCUUUGGCACCAGCUCCUGCCACUACAAAAGAGGAUUCCUCUGAAGAGUUCCUGCUGGAUACAGAUCUUCCAAGCACACCUCUGCCAGCCACAUCACCACUGCCCGUGAUAGCUUCUAGACCCAUCAAGAGAUGAGGUUGCCUCUUCAUCUUGGACCACGGCCGAUGGACAGAGCCCCUUGAAGCUGCCAGUGAUGUCCUACUGGCCAAGCACCAUGGGGAGGAAGAGAUCCGGAAGUGGGUAGAUUUGCUUUGCUCUCAACACCAGUCCAGAGAAGCUCCUAGAGACACACAGCUGUGACAUUAUUUUACUGCAGAGAGUAAAAUGGUCAGUGUCGCAGUCACGUCCCCUACCACCUGCACUUACACAGCAGAAAGCCUCACCAAUUCAAGGAUGCCAUUUCAGUAUUUUGCUGCCGCAGCCUUCUUUCAAUGGGAGCUGGAGGCCUCGAAGCAGAGGGAGGCUGUGAGGAAGGAGCAAACUGAAGAAAGAGAAAAUCCUUAGAGCAACAUCCCUCUGUCCAUCUGUACAGGUUCUGCCACCAGUCGCUGAAACAAGGCUCCAACAGCCAUCCAACAGCUUUCCUUGAGUGGCAGGAAAAUAUCUACUACCUAGCCAAAGUUUUCUCUGUGCCUGAUACAGGGCAUUGGCGGAUGCGCCAACAGUCUGCCUUUUAAUGAGACUGAAAAGUAGAUGGAUGGUGGGGAAGGGAGAGUGACUGAAAUAAAUUGGAGCUGAAAAUUUCCAUUGAUGGAA